ACACAUAUGUGCAAAGAAGUUCCUUAAUCUAUAUCUUGUCCCUGCCCCUGUGUGGUGGGGCUGCUACCAAGGCGCCAGUUGGCUCAUGCCAUCCAGGGACACCUUGAUUAGGCCUAAGGGAUACAUGCAUUUGCACUUGGGGCAUUGUCAGGAAUGCUUUAAUUGUUGCAUUACGACUAGGAGUUCAUUGCAAAUAAGAGAGAAUAUAAAAAAGGCUUUGGGGUGAACAGAAGGGUACAAGCAAGGUAGGUAGAAAGAAACAGAGCGAAGGGAGAGAUGAGAUAGUUCUACUAUAUUUGAAGAAAGGGGGACAUUUCUGUUCUGUUCUAUUCUCUCAAAUACUCAUGCUUCUCGUAUAUCUUCGUUGGCCAGCUCCUCUUGCUUCUGUGGUUUUACCACCAGCAAUAAUCUGCUCCCAGCAGAACCAUUGAUUUUAAUGCUUGAAUUUUGAUGUUUGAAAUUGAGUUGUCAAGGUUCAUUGUUGUGGAAUUCUGGAUACAAGCCAGAUCGAGUAGUGAAUCACCUGCUGGUUUAAGAUAAGAGAAAUUGGUAAAUUUUUUACUUUCUCGGCAGAAUGUGUUACAGUUUAUGUAAUUCUGAAAUAUUAUUCCGAUGUUUCU